rnacentral:rRNA from 1 species
GGGUCAGUAGGUUGGUCGUGCCACCGGUACGUACUGGUCUCACUGAUUCCUCCUUCCUGAAGAACCGUAAUGCCAUUAAUUUGGUGUUGCGGGGGAAACAGGACUGUUACUUUGAAAAAAUUAGAGUGUUUAAAGCAAGCUAACGCUUGAAUACAUUAGCAUAGAAUAAUGAAAUAGGACGAUCGAUCCUAUUUUGUUGGUUUCUAGGAUUGACGUA